CAAGCCCCGGCGCCGCAAACCGCGAGAGUCACGUCCAGUCAACCGCCUUCGCUGAGGCGAGGCCGGUCACGCAGUGUUAUCUCUCCUGCUAAUCCUCACAGGGCUGGCCCGGCUGGCCUCCGCGUGCCAUCGUUACCUAUUCCAUCAAAAUUGGCAGGAAAACAUACACUCUCCAUCUUGAAAAACAAUUCCACAUAAAAGUAAUAUUGUAG